UACGGGGGGAGCAAGCGUUGUUCGGAUUUACUGGGCGUAAAGGGCGCGUAGGCGGUCAGCACAAGUCAGUUGUGAAAUCUCCGGGCUUAACUCGGAAAGGUCAACUGAUACUGUGCGACUAGAGUGCAGAAGGGGCAACUGGAAUUCUCGGUGUAGCGGUGAAAUGCGUAGAUAUCGAGAGGAACACCUGCGGCGAAGGCGGGUUGCUGGGCUGACACUGACGCUCAGGCACGAAAGCGUGGGGAGCAAACAGG
rnacentral:rRNA from 1 species